AUUGAACGCUGGCGGCAGGCCUAACACAUGCAAGUCGAGCGGAUGAAGGGAGCUUGCUCCUGGAUUCAGCGGCGGACGGGUGAGUAAUGCCUAGGAAUCUGCCUGGUAGUGGGUGAUAACGUCCGGAAACGGGCGCUAAUACCGCAUACGUCCUGAGGGAGAAUGUGGGGGAUCUUCUGACCUCCCGCUAUCAGAUGAUCCUAGGUCGGAUUAGCUAGUUGGUGGGGUAAAGGCCUACCAAGGCGACGAUCCGUAACUGGUCUGAGAGGAUGAUCAGUCACGCUAGAAGUGAGACGCGGUCCAGAAAACUGCGGGAGGCAGCAGUGGAGAAUAUUAGAAAAUGGGCGAAAGCCUGAUACAGCCAAGCCGCGUGAGUGAAGAAGGUCUUAGGAUUGUAAAGCACUUUAAGUUGGGAGAAAGGGCAGUAAGUUAAUACCUUGAUGUUUUGACGUUACCAACAGAAUAAGAACCGGAUAACUUCGUG
rnacentral:rRNA from 1 species